UACCAGCACCCCGAGUGGUCGGGACGUUUUAUUGGGCCUAAAGCAUCCGUAGCCGGUUCUACAAGUCUUCCGUUAAAUCCACCUGCUUAACAGAUGGGCUGCGGAAGAUACUAUAGAGCUAGGAGGCGGGAGAGGCAAGCGGUACUCGAUGGGUAGGGGUAAAAUCCUCUGAUCCACUGAAGACCACCAGUGGCGAAGGCGGCUUGCCAGAACGCGCUCGACGGUGAGGGAUGAAAGCUGGGGGAGCAAACCGG
rnacentral:rRNA from 1 species